GCCUCUGUAGCUUAAAAUGAACAAAGCAUUG
rnacentral:tRNA from 1 species